UAUAAAGUUAUUGUAGGCUCUGUCCGUGUCUAUAUCUCCACAAACAGAGUUCCAGUCUUGCACUCUCAGUUCUCCUUUAAGUGCAUUAAAUGCAUCUUGAGUUUGUAGUCUUUUACAGCUUAUAUUACAGAUUUCUUUAGUUUUAGAAACAUUACAGUCAUAUAUGGCAAAAACAGGCAAGUGGUCCGUAAUAUCACAAAUAAGCAAGCCAUUAAUUAAGUUAUUUGGAAAAAUGUUAUCAAUUAAGGUUGCACUGUGAGAUGUGAUUCUACUGGGUUUUGUUAUUGUUGGAAAUAAGGACAUGGAGUAAAUUUUUUCAAUGAAUUCAUUGGUCAGUUUGUGUUUGUUUGGAUUUAAGAGGUCAAUGUUGAAAUCCCCACAGAUGAAUAAGGAUUUAUUGUUAACUGCUGAAAACAGAUUCUCCAUCUCUCCAUUAAAAGUAUCAACAUUUGACCCAGGUGAUCUAUAAACACAACUUAUAAUAAUGUUUGUUUUUUUCAUUCCAUUAUUGAUUUCUAUUGUUAUACAUUCCAUUACAUUAUCAAGUACAAAUGACAUAUUAUUUAGAACCGAAUAUUUUAUAGUCUUAUGCACAUAUAGCGCGCCCCCACCUCCUGUUUUAUUUUGUCUAUUUAUGUAAUGCAAUUCAUAAUCAUCCAUCUCAAAGUCAAUUCCUUUCUCUUGAUUGAACCAGGUUUCCGAUAUGGCUAUAACACUGAAGGGAUAAAUAAAGUUUUGUAAAUAUUCAC